rnacentral:rRNA from 1 species
AAAACAUGUCUUUUUAAAAUUUUUUUAAAGUUGGCCCUGCUCAAUGAGUCAAAUUAAAUAGCCGCGGUAAUUUAACUGUGCAAAGGUAGCAUAAUAAUUAGUCUUUUAAUUGAGGUCUGGAAUGAAUGGGUUGACGAGGAAAUAACUUUAUUUAAUUAAUUUUAUUUAAUUUAAUUUUUAAGUUAAAAAGCUUAAAUAUUUAAGUGGGACGAUAAGACCCUAUAGAUCUUUAUUUUUUCUUUUUUUUGGAUUGUUUAUUGAAUUUAUUUCUUUUAAAAUUGUAAAAUUUAACUGGGGUGGUUGUAAAAAUUUUAAACUUUUAUUCUUUUUUACUUUUUUUUUUGGGUUAAUGGAUCCUUAAAUUUGGAUUUUAAGAAAAAGAUACCUUAGGGAUAACAGCGUUAUAUAUUUGGAGAGUUCUAAUUGAUAAAUAUGUUUGCGACCUCGAUGUUGGAUUAAAAUUAAUUGUGGGGCAGGUUUUACAAUUUUAGGUCUGUUCGACCUUUAAAAUUUUACAUGAUCUGGU